GAUGAACGCUGGCGGCGUGCCUAAUACAUGCCAGUCGAGCGAACAGACGAGGAGCUUGCUCCUCUGACGUUAGCGGCGGACGGGUGAGUAACACGUGGAUAACCUACCUAUAAGACUAGGAUAACUUCGGGAAACCGGAGCUAAUACCGGAUAAUAUAUUGAACCGCAUGGUUCAAUAGUGAAAGACGGUUUUGCUGUCACUUAUAGAUGGAUCCGCGCCGCAUUAGCUAGUUGGUAAGGUAACGGCUUACCAAGGCAACGAUGCGUAGCCGACCUGAGAGGGUGAUCGGCCACACUGGAACUGAGACACGGUCCAGACUCCUACGGGAGGCAGCAGUAGGGAAUCUUCCGCAAUGGGCGAAAGCCUGACGGAGCAACGCCGCGUGAGUGAUGAAGGUCUUCGGAUCGUAAAACUCUGUUAUUAGGGAAGAACAAAUGUGUAAGUAACUAUGCACGUCUUGACGGUACCUAAUCAGAAAGCCGCGGCUAACUACGUG
rnacentral:rRNA from 1 species